ACGGAGGGUGCGAGCGUUGUCCGGAAUCACUGGGCGUAAAGGGCGCGUAGGCGGCUUGGGAAGUCCGUGGUGAAAGCCCGAGGCUCAACUUCGGGUCGGCCAUGGAUACUCCUAAGCUCGAGUCGACUAGAGGCUAAUGGAAUUCCGGGUGUAGCGGUGGAAUGCGUAGAGAUCCGGAAGAACACCGGUGGCGAAGGCGGUUAGCUGGGGUCGGACUGACGCUGAGGCGCGACAGCGUGGGGAGCAAACAGGA
rnacentral:rRNA from 1 species